UGUUUGUUUGGUUGAAACUCGAUAUUUUUGAGGUCUCUGUAAGAAAGAGAAAAAGAAAAAAAAACGCAAUUGAAAAGAAGAUCAUAGCAAAAAAUCAAUGGUAAUUUAGAGAGAGAUGCAAAUGCAAACGUCGCUGAUUCGACGAUUGGCGCCAUCGUUGGCAGCACGAUUUCGACGAAACGAGAAUCUUAUAAGCUCCUUUUCUUCUUUAUCUUCUUCUUCCGUUGUUCACCAUGCCACGUCUUCGUCGUCUUCUUCUGCUGACGUGGAACCCGUUCACAUAACCGAAAACUGCGUUCGAAGAAUGAAGGAACUGGAUUCCAAUGAAUCGCCAGCAGGUGGAAAAAUGCUUCGUUUGAGUGUAGAAACUGGUGGAUGUUCAGGAUUUCAGUAUGCUUUUAAUUUGGACAAUAAAGUUAACUCAGAUGAUAGAGUUUUCGAGAAGGAAGGAAUUAAACUGGUUGUUGAUAAUAUUUCAUAUGACUUCGUGAAAGGUGCAACUGUUGAUUAUGUUGAGGAGUUAAUUCGUUCAGCUUUCAUAACCAGCAUGUUUCAUUUCUUGUUAUGUGGAUGAUGCAGUUGCUCUCCUGACUGAGCGUUUGCUUUGGACCGCUCUCUCCCAACACCACUCAUGUUUUUCAGGCAAACCUCCAUCAAUUCAAACAAAAGUAAAGCUACCACUAGAGAUAUGCCUGGAAAAUGUGACUAACAUUUGAAUAAAGUUGUUCAUGCAAAAUAGUGGUCGCUGGUCAGGAGAAGCAACUGUAGAGCUGCAACGCAAACCAAGCCCACAUAUCAGUUUUGUUAUGUUAAAACAACUUAAAAGCAUGGUGUGCUCCUAAAAUAUGUAGAGCCCCGUAGAUACUUCCAAUCUUAAGGUAACUGAGAACCCUAGUGCAGUUGGUGGUUGCAGUUGUAAAAGUUCCUUCAUGGUGAAACAGUAGUUAGCUGUCUUGGUACACCCCGCCUCAUUUUCCUUCACUGAUCAGAUAUACUUAUUCAGUCCAACUAGAUUACAUUAUGAAACAUGAUUUUUGUACCUAAAAAAACAAUUGAUUGAAUUGAAGAUUAAAUUAUUGCUUGUAUACUGAUAUCAAUGUAACAUGCAGUUGUUUGUACUGGUAAUAAAUUAUCAGGCAUUUUAUACUCUAGCCUGUUAUAAUUUCUUUUGGUGCUUUUUACCAA